UACGUCAUUUUGCAAUUUCAUAUUAUAUUUGCUUACAAAAGAUCAAUAUUUGCCUUGAAGGUUAUCAACUUCUACACACAACUUAUAAAUGCAAGAAGCAAAAACGCCCAGAAAAAUGGAAUAUCAAAGACUUAUACAUUGAGUACAUACCAUUAUACCAAACUCGUCAAGAAUGGUCCAGAAUCUCUCGCAAAAUGGACAACUAAAGUACGAACUCGUGUCUUCUUAUCAUUCAUGUACAUUAAUAUCAUGCCCUAUAUUGAAAUUGUUACUCUUACCAAACUCMUGAGUGAUCCCAAAACAAAAAUGGGCGUGAAAGAGGCUACAUUCUCACUGAUUACUGUGACUUCAUAGGUUAAARAUUUGCUUGAUAAUGACAAAUUAUUUAUACCAAUUCACCUMCCUUCACAUUGGACGCUUGGGGUAGUGGAUUUCAGAAAGAGGUCAAUUGCAUACUGGGAUUCGCUUCAUGAACAAGAUGAAUCAUUUCAUAAGAAUAUCAGAUCAUUUCUGAAAUGUGAGGCAAAAAGAAGAAAUAAACAACUUGACCUUGACUUAUGGGUUGAUGAAACUCCAAAGAAUAUACCACAUCAAGACAAUGACUAUGAUUGUGGAGUGUUCAUGUGUAUGUAUAUUGAAUCCCUGAGCAGAUGCAAAUAUCCAUCUUUCAAUCAGAGUGAUAUGGGACAGCUAAGACUACAGAUGAAAAAUGAAAUUUUGUCUAGAUCCUUAGUAAACUUUUAAUCCAAGUUCAUAUAUUAGUAAUAACAAAUUGUACUAUAGGUCUAUAAUGUUUUUUGUCUCUUUCACUGUGAAGCAGUACCACUGAGCUGAGAAGCAGAGAGAAACCUCUGGUACAAGGGUACUGACAUGACUGUUGCCUUGCAUAUAUAGUAACUAUCAGUAAAUUUUAGCCAAAAUAACAACUUUUCUAAAUAUAUUUAUUAUU